rnacentral:pre_miRNA from 1 species
GCAAGCGUGGAAACUACCGUUGGAUCGAAAAAUGGACGCCCGAAAUUUGUCCACAUCUGCAUGAGUUAAAAUUUUAGUCCUAGUGAAAUUUUAACUCAUGAGUGAAUUUGCGAGUUAAAUUUUAAAUAUCGGGCGUCCAUUUUUUGAUCCAAUGGUAGUUUCUACGUUUGC